UGGGGAAUUUUGGACAAUGGGCGCAAGCCUGAUCCAGCAAUGCCGCGUGCAGGAUGAAGGCCUUCGGGUUGUAAACUGCUUUUGUACGGAGCGAAAAGGUCUGCCCUAAUACGGUGGGCUCAUGACGGUACCGUAAGAAUAAGCACCGGCUAACUACGUGCCAGCAGCCGCGGUAAUACGUAGGGUGCGAGCGUUGAUCGGAAUUACUGGGCGUAAAGCGUGCGCAGGCGGUUAUAUAAGACAGGUGUGAAAUCCCCGGGCUCAACCUGGGACCUGCAUUUGUGACUGUAUAGCUAGAGUACGGUAGAGGGGGAUGGAAUUCCGCGUGUAGCAGUGAAAUGCGUAGAUAUGCGGAGGAACACCGAUGGCGAAGGCAAUCCCCUGGACCUGUACUGACGCUCAUGCACGAAAGCGUGGGGAGCAAACA
rnacentral:rRNA from 1 species